GGCUGCAGCUUACCGGCUUCCUGCAGGUCAAUCUGCUGCUCUUGAGAAAAACAUGCUUUCAAAGAUCAGCUCGGCUUUAAUGACUGAGCCCUCAAGAGCAUGAUGGGAAAAAUCACAGAGACAGCUGACCAAAGCCAGGGGAGGUCAUGGACCAUGGACUGACAGGUGGGGUACCUGCAUGUAACCAAAUUAGACCCUCUGAAUGUGGGUGACAGUUAUGUGGUUUGAUAUGUUGGGGGGGACCGGCAGUAGGACCAGGACCUGUCCCAGGAGCAUAAACUGGCUUUUUGCAGACCAUUUCCUAUGGUGGGACAGCUAAGUUACUCUACCUUUUGUGGGGUUCAUUAUACAGUAUUCUCUUUUUUCUUUUUUUUAAUUGAUUUUUAUUGAGCUCUACAUUUUUCUCUGCUUUCCUCCCUGACUCUCCCCUCCCCUUUCCAGCCCUCCCCCAAGGUCCUUAUGCUCCUAAUUUACUCAGGAUAUCUUGUCUUUUUCUACUUCCCAUGUAGAUUAGAUCUAUGUAAGUCUCUCUUAGUGUCCUCAUUGUUGUCUAAGUUCUCUGGGAUUGGGUUUGUAGGAUGGUUUUCUUUGUUUUAUGUUUAAAAACCACCUAUGAGUGAGUGCAUGUAAUAACUGUCUUUCUGGGUCUGGGUUACCUCACUCAAAAUAAUGUUUUCUAGCUCCAUCCAUUUUCCUGCAAUAUUCAAGCUGUCAUUUUUUUCUGCUGUGUAGUACUCCAUUGUGUAAAUGUACCACAUUUUCCUUAUCCAUUCUUUGGUCAAGGGACAUUUAGGUUGUUUCCAGGUUCUAGCUAUGACAAACAAUGUUGCUAUAAACAUAGUUGAGCACAUGUUGUUGUGGCAUGAUUGAGCAUCCUUUGGAUAUAUACCCAAAAGUGGUAUUACUGGGUCUUGAGGAAUGUUAUUUCUUAAUUUUCUGAGAAAUUGCCACACUGAUAUCCAACAGGGUUUAACCAGCUUGUAUUCCCACCAGCAAUGCAGGAGUGUUCCCUUUUCACCAUAAUCUUUUCAGCAUAAGUUGUCAUCAGUGUUUUUGAUCUUGGUCAUUCUUACCAGUGUAAGAUGGAAUCUCAGAGUUGUUUUGAUUUGCAUUUCUCUUAUGGCUAAGGAUGCUGAAGAUUUCCUUAAAUGUCUUUCAGCCAUUUUAGACUCCUCUAUUGAAAGUUCUCUGUUUAGGUCUGUACUCCAUUUUUUAUUGGAUUAUGUGUUCUUUUGGUGAACAAUUUCUUGAGUUCUUUGUAUAUUUUGGAGAUCAGACCUCUGAUGUGGGGUUAGUGAAGAUCUUUUCCCAUUCUGUAGGCUGUCAUUUUGUCUUGUUGACCAUGUCCUUUGCUUUACAGAAGCUUUUCACUUUCAGGAGGUCCCAUUUAUUAAUUGUCUCCGUGUCUGUGCUGCUGAGGUUAUAUUUAAGAAGUGGUCUCCUGUGCCAAUGUGUUCAAGUGUAUUUUCCACUUUUUUCUUUUAUAAGGUUCAGUGUAGCUGGCUUUAUGUUGAGGCCUUUGACCUAUUUGGACUUGAGUUUUGUGCAUGGUGAUAGAUAUGGGUCUAUUUUCAUUCUUCUACAUGUUGAUAUCCAGUUAUGCCAGCACCAUUUGUUAAAUAUACUUUCUUUUUUUUAUUUGAUAUGUUUUGCUUCUUUGUCAAAAAUCAGGUGUCCGUAUGUGUGUCGAUUAACAUCUGGGUCUUUCACAUUGGAGCA